rnacentral:rRNA from 1 species
UACAGAGGGGGCAAGCGUUAUUCGGAAUUAUUGGGCGUAAAGGGCGCGUAGGCGGUUCUUCAAGUCUCUCGUGAAAUCCCUCGGCUUAACUGAGGACGUGCGGGAGAUACUGAAGGGCUUGAGUCCGGAAGAGGGUGGUGGAAUUCCCAGUGUAGCGGUGAAAUGCGUAGAUAUUGGGAGGAACACCAGUGGCGAAGGCGGCUCACUGGCCCGGUACUGACGCUGAGGAGCGAAAGCCAGGGAAGCAAACGGG